GAACUUCAAGGUGCACUUUGAUUAUAUGGAUGGAGUAUCACAAAAAUAUGGGCCAAUACACUUAAGAGGAACUUCCAAGUUUAUAUCAAUAGAUGGAUCCAUAAAAAGAAGAGUCUUGGGCCAAACUUUGAAGGCCUUAAGAGGGGAAAAUUGAGAUCAUCAAGUUAAGGGAAGAUACAAUAAGAGUAAAACUGACCCUUAAAGAGUCUUACACCUCAAGGACUCUUAGCCAC
rnacentral:lncRNA from 1 species